GAUGAAGAACGUAGCGAAAUGCGAUAAGUAAUGUGAAUUGCAGAAUUCAGUGAAUCAUCGAAUCUUUGAACGCACAUUGCGCCCCCUGGUAUUCCGGGGGGCAUGCCUGUCCGAGCGUCAUUACAACCCUCAAGCUCAGCUUGGUGUUGGGCCCCGCCGCCCCGGCGGGCCCUAAAGUCAGUGGCGGUGCCGUCCGGCUCCGAGCGUAGUAAUUCUUCUCGCUCAGGAGGCCCGGUCGUGUGCUCGCCAGCAACCCCCAAUUUUUUUCAGGUUGACCUCGGAUCAGGUAGGGAUACCCGCUGAACUUAAGCAUAUCAAUAAGCGGAGGA
rnacentral:misc_RNA from 1 species